rnacentral:rRNA from 1 species
GACGAGGGGUCCUAGCGUUGUUCGGAAUCACUGGGCGUAAAGCGUAUGUAGGCGGGCUUUUAAGUCAGGUGUGAAAUCCCACGGCUCAACCGUGGAAUUGCAUUUGAAACUGGAAGUCUUGAGUGUGGGAGAGAUUGGUAGAAUACCUGGUGUAGUGGUGAAAUACGUAGAUAUCAGGUGGAAUACCGGUGGCGAAGGCGCAUGCCAACAGUCGACGCUGAGAUACGAAAGCGUGGGGAUCAAACAGG